rnacentral:rRNA from 1 species
CCUACGGGAGGCAGCAGUGAGGAAUAUUGGUCAAUGGGCGAGAGCCUGAACCAGCCAAGUCGCGUGAGGGAUGACUGCCCUACGGGUUGUAAACUUCUUUUAUAAGGGAGUAAAGUGAGGCACGUGUGCCGUUUUGUAUGUACUUUAUGAAUAAGGAUCGGCUAACUCCGUGCCAGCAGCCGCGGUAAUACGGAGGAUCCGAGCGUUAUCCGGAUUUAUUGGGUUUAAAGGGAGCGUAGAUGGGUUGUUAAGUCAGUUGUGAAAGUUUGCGGCUUAACCGUAAAAUUGCAAUGGAUACUGGCAGUCUUGAGUACAGUAGAGGUAGGCGGAAUGCGUGGUGUAGCGGUGAAAUGCUUAGAUAUCACGAAGAACUCCGAUUGCGAAGGCAGCUUACUA